AUAAAUGGAAAGCCAGGAAGAAACGUUUUUUCGCUUGUGAGUUGGAUUUUUUUUUUUUUUUUUUUUAUUC
rnacentral:ribozyme from 1 species